CAAGUCGAGUGCGCGUCUGUAGCAAUACAGAUGGCGCACGGCGCACGGGUGCGUAACACGUGGGCAAUCUGCCCUUCGAUGGGGAAUAUCUUCGGGAAACCGAAGCGAAUUCCGCAUAACAUUCCUUGGACUUCGGUUCGAGGACUCAAAGCCGUAAGGCGUCGAAGGAGGAGCCCGCGCACGAUUAGCUAGUUGGUAGGGUAACGGCCUACCAAGGCUUUGAUCGUUAGCUGGUCUGAGAGGAUGGCCAGCCACACUGGAACUGAGACACGGUCCAGACUCCUACGGGAGGCAGCAGUGGGGAAUCUUGCACAAUGGGCGAAAGCCUGAUGCAGCGACGCCGCGUGGGGGAUGAAGCAUCUCGGUGUGUAAACCCCUUUCGACCCGGAAGAAUGCCUCGCAAGAGGACUGACGGUACGGGUAUAAGAAGCCCCGGCUAACUGCGUGCCAGCAGCCGCGGUAAGACGUAGGGGGCCAGCGUUGUUCGGAAUUACUGGGUGUAAAGGGUUCGUAGGCGGUGUGGCAAGUUGGGAGUGAAAUCUCUGGGCUCAACCCAGAGGCUGCUUCCAAAACUGCUGUGCUUGAGUGUGGGAGAGGCGCGUGGAAUUGCAGGUGUAGCGGUGAAAUGCGUAGAUAUCUGCAGGAACACCCGUGGCGAAAGCGGCGCGCUGGACCACUACUGACGCUGAGGAACGAAAGCUAGGGGAGCAAACAGGAUUAGAUACCCUGGUAGUCCUAGCCCUAAACGAUCAGGACUUGGGGUGCCGCCCGUUCGGGCGUCGUCCCGGAGCUAACGCGUUAAGUCCUGCACCUGGGGAGUACGGUCGCAAGACUGAAACUCAAAGGAAUUGACGGGGGCCCCCACAAG
rnacentral:rRNA from 1 species